rnacentral:rRNA from 1 species
ACGGGAGGCAGCAGUAGGGAAUAUUGGACAAUGGGGGAAACCCUGAUCCAGCGACGCCGCGUGAGUGAAGAAAUAUUUCGGUAUGUAAAGCUCUAUCAGCAGGGAAGAAAAUGACGGUACCUGACUAAGAAGCACCGGCUAAAUACGUGCCAGCAGCCGCGGUAAUACGUAUGGUGCAAGCGUUAUCCGGAUUUACUGGGUGUAAAGGGUGCGUAGGUGGUAUGGCAAGUCAGAAGUGAGAUGCGGGGGCUCAACCCCUGAACUGCUUUUGAAACUGUCAAACUAGAGUGCAGGAGAGGAAAGCGGAAUUCCUAGUGUAGCGGUGAAAUGCGUAGAUAUUAGGAGGAACACCAGUGGCGAAGGCGGCUUUCUGGACUGUAACUGACACUGAGGCACGAAAGCGUGGGGAGCAAACAGGAUUAGAUACCCUGGUA